AUUUUCAUACCACCUGUUCACCAUGUGGCCUGAGGAAUCAGGAAAUUGCUGCUACUGCUCAUGUUAGGAAAUUACAAGAAGCCUUCACCAAUGGUCAUAAUCAACCUACAGCACAAAGGGAGUUCACUGUUCAACUCCAGGCCCCAGCCUCUGACAUCAAGCUCUGGAUUGUCUGCUGACUAAAGUGCUAGAAGACAAAGAAACUGAAUAGAAGGAAGGCUCGUGGGACCCCUGCAUUCUGCUUGCUUAUUCUUAGAGGCCACCCCUCCACAGAAGACUUCUUAGG
rnacentral:lncRNA from 10 species